GAUCUUUGAGCGUCGCUUCUACUAGUGACUGCCACAUGACUGCAGUAGCUUCACUGCAAGUUUCUUCAGGAUCUGCGGAAGAGGCUUCUAACAGCGACACCCACGCAUUGAGGUGCCCUGAUGAGCAGGGUGGCAGCUCCCUUGUAGUUGGCGCAGGGGUGUCUGCUGACCUCGGCUUGCUGGAGGAAACCUUGACCAAUCGCUCAGUUGUGACAGAAGGAACUUUUGUUAUCGGCGAAUUUGAUGUUUACUUCUGCAACAGAUUGUAUUGAUAUCCAGACUUCCGCAGGCUGCAUGCAAGAUUCUUCCGGCAGCAGUGUCCA
rnacentral:lncRNA from 1 species